rnacentral:tRNA from 1 species
CAGGCGAUAGUUUAAUUUAAAAUUUCGGCCUUGGGUGUCGAUAAUGGGGGAGAGAGACCCUCUUGCUUGA